AUUGAACGUGGCGGCAGGCCUUAGACAUGCAAUUCGAACGGGGUACAGCAGAGCUUGCUCUGGCUGACGAGUGGCGGACGGGUGAGUAACGCGUAGGAAUCUACCCAGUAGCGGGGGAUAGCCCGGGGAAACCCGGAAUAAUACCGCAUACGCCCCACGGGGGAAAGAGGGCCUCUUCUUGAAAGCUCUCACUAUUGGAGGAGCCUGCGUUGGAUUAGCUAGUUGGUGGGGUAAAGGCCUACCAAGGCGACGAUCCAUAGCUGGUCUGAGAGGACGAUCAGCCACACUGGAACUGAGACACGGUCCAGACUCCUACGGGAGGCAGCAGUCAGGAAUAUUGUGCAAUGGGGGAAACCCUGACACAGCCAUGCCGCGUGUGUGAAGAAGGCCUUAGGGUUGUAAAGCACUUUCAGUAGGGAGGAACUAGCAGCGUUAAUACCGCUGUGAGAUGACGUUACCUACAGAAGAAGAUCCGGCUAACUCCGUGCCAGCAGCCGCGGUAAUACGGAGGGAUCGAACGUUAAUCGGAAUUACUGGGCGUAAAGCGCGCGUAGGUGGUUUGUUAAGUGGGAUGUGAAAGCCCCGGGCUCAACCUGGGAACUGCAUUCCAAACUGACAAACUAGAGUACGAUAGAGGGGGGUAGAAUUCAGAGUGUAGCGGUGAAAUGCGUAGAUAUUCUGAGGAAUACCGGUGGCGAAGGCGGCCCCCUGGAUUGAUACUGA
rnacentral:rRNA from 1 species